UUUGGUGACGAUAGCGGAAGGGAACCACGCGUACCCAUCCCGAACACGGCCGUUAAGCCUUCCAGCGUCGAUGGUACUUGGACCGAAGGGUCCUGGGAGAGUGAGUAGGACGUUGCCAAGC
rnacentral:rRNA from 1 species